GAUGAACGCUGGCGGCGUGCCUAAUACAUGCAAGUCGAGCGAACGGACGAGAAGCUUGCUUCUCUGAUGUUAGCGGCGGACGGGUGAGUAACACGUGGAUAACCUACCUAUAAGACUGGGAUAAUUUCGGGAAACCGGAGCUAAUACCGGAUAAUAUUUUGAAGCGCAUGGUUCAAAAGUGAAAGACGGUCUUGCUGUCACUUAUAGAUGGAUCUGAGCUGCUUUAGCUAGUUGGUAAGGUAAAGGGUUACCAAGGCAACGAUGCAUAGCCGACCUGAGAGGGUGAUCGGCCACACGGGAACGGAGACACGGUCCAGGCGCCUACGGGAGGCAGCAGUAGGGAAUCGGCCGCAAUGGGCGAAAGCCUGACGGAGCAACGCCGCGUGAGUGAUGAAGGUCUUCGGAUCGUAAAACUCUGUUAUUAGGGAAGAACAUAUGUGUAAGUAACUGUGCACAUCUUGACGGUACCUAAUCAGAAAGCCACGGCUAACUACGUG
rnacentral:rRNA from 1 species